GGAAGUGUGGCAUAGUGGUUUGAGUGUUGGAUUACAACUCUGGAGACCAGGAUUCGAUUCCCCACUCAGCCA
rnacentral:tRNA from 1 species